rnacentral:misc_RNA from 1 species
GAUGGAAGAACGUAGCGAAAUGCGAUAAGUAGUGUGAAUUGCAGAAUUCAGUGAAUCAUCGAAUCUUUGAACGCACAUUGCGCCCUUUGGUAUUCCUUAGGGCAUGCCUGUUCGAGCGUCAUUUGAAACCUCAAGCUCAGCUUGGUGUUGGGAGUCUGUCCCCGCCUCACCGCGGGGACUCGCCUCAAAAUCAUUGGCGGCCGGUACGUUGGCUUCGAGCGCAGCAGAAACGCGAACUCGAGGCCCGGCGGAUCGGCGACCAGAAGUCACUUCUUCACAGUUUGACCUCGGAUCAGGUAGGGAUACCCGCUGAACUUAAGCAUAUCAAUAAGCGGAGGA